rnacentral:rRNA from 1 species
GACGAACGCUGGCGGCGUGCUUAACACAUGCAAGUCGAGCGGCAAGGCCCUGCUUUUGUGGGGUGCUCGAGUGGCGACCGGGUGCGUAACACGUGAGUAACCUGCCCUUGCCUUUGGGAUAACUUCAGGAAACUGGGGCUAAUACCGGAUAGGAGCUCCUGCUGCAUGGUGGGGGUUGGAAAGUUUCGGCGGUUGGGGAUGGACUCGCGGCUGAUCAGCUUGUUGUUGGGGGAGUGGCUUACCAAGGCUUUGACGGGUAGCCGGCCUGAGAGGGUGACCGGCCACAGUGGGACUGAGAUACGGCCCAGACUCCUACGGGAGGCAGCAGUGGGGAAUAUUGCACAAUGGGCGGAAGCCUGAUGCAGCAACGCCGCGUGCGGGAUGACGGCCUUCGGGUUGUAAACCGCUUUCGCCUGUGACGAAGCGUGAGUGACGGUAAUGGGUAAAGAAGCACCGGCUAACUACGUG